CCUACGGGGGGCAGCAGUGGGGAAUAUUGGACAAUGGGGGCAACCCUGAUCCAGCCAUGCCGCGUGUGUGAAGAAAGCCCUCGGGUUGUAAAGCACUUUCAGUGAGGAAGAACGCCUGGUGGUUAAUACCCAUCAGGAAAGACAUCACUCACAGAAGAAGCACCGGCAUAACUCCGUGCCAGCAGCCGCGGUAAUACGGAGGGUGCGAGCGUUAAUCGGAAUUACUGGGCGUAAAGCGCGCGUAGGUGGCUUGAUAAGCCGGUUGUGAAAGCCCCGGGCUCAACCUGGGAACGGCAUCCGGAACUGUCAAGCUAGAGUGCAGGAGAGGAAGGUAGAAUUCCAGGUGUAGCGGUGAAAUGCGUAGAGAUCGGGAGGAAUACCAGUGGCGAAGGCGGCCUUCUGGACUGACACUGACACUGAGGUGCGAAAGCGUGGGUAGCAAACAGGAUUAGAUACCCUAGUAGUC
rnacentral:rRNA from 1 species